UACAGAGGGUGCUAACGUUGUUCGGAAUCACUGGGCAUAAAGCGCACGUAGGCGGCUUGGUAAGUGCGCUGUGAAAGCGCCUGGCUUAACCGAGGCAGGUCGUCGGAUACUGCGGAACUGGAGGACGGUAGAGGCGUGUGGAAUUCCGGGUGUAGUGGUGAAAUGCGUAGAGAUCCGGAGGAACACCAGUGGCGAAGGCGACACGCUGGGCCGUACCUGACACUGAUGCGCGACAGCAUGGGGAACAAACAGG
rnacentral:rRNA from 1 species